ensembl:lncRNA
UCCUCUUAAUCAUUAAUCCUAGUAGAUAGUUUUUUUAAUCAACAUGAUAACCAUAUGAUAAGAAAUUUCAAGUUUUAUUCUCAUCAUACUAAGAAGAACAAAACAUUAAAGGUAGGGUUCUUGCAACAGGAGCAGAAUAUGUGGCUCUUCUAAAUGGCAAAGCAAGAUAAUGUUUCUUCAGUCAUAAAAACAUUGUGCCUUCAAGAAUAAUUUUUUAUCUGUGAAGUUGGGGGUGGAGGGCUGGCCUUAGAGAGAUUUAUAGAGCUUCAGAGGACCAGGCAGCUGUUGCAAAGUUCAUUUUUACCCACUCUGUAGAACUGGCUCUGUCCCAUUAGUAAGAACGGUUAGAAGUGUUGCAGAUGAUGGAAGGAGGCUCUAUAGAAGCCCAAAGAAAGAAAGACACAGCUUCUGAAGGCACCUUCCUCAGCCCUUGGUCUUCCUUCCCCUGCUCUUUGUUCUUUCAGCUUUUAAAACCAUUUCUUAAAAAUGCGCUGAGGAAAACAGAGCUGUGUAAUCUGCCAACUGUACACCAAAUACUAACUUCACAUUUAUUCUCUUCACAUGCAUUUUUCAUAUAUAGAAUAAUUUUAUCUUGAAAUGUGUACGGGACCCUCUUGUUCUUUAAAAAUAACAUACUACGGGUUUAUGCAUACCCAUCCUUAAGAGCAAGCUAGAACUUGCUCCUAAGAAUCUUAAAACUUAAUUUCAAACCAGAUGCCUUUUUUCACCAUCUGCAUUAAACAUCAAAACUCUAUUUCUUCCUUUAAGACAUUAGAAAAUAGGUGAAUGAUCUGAGGUCAUAAUUUUGCUUUCCGACAUAUGAGGUGGCAAAAGACCAACAGGAGAAAAACAGAUUUCAGAAAAGGAAAGCAAUGUCAGCCCUCCUGGGUGCCCCCACUAAUUGAAUUAGUGUGCUUCCCUUUCUUUUUCUCUUGCCAGCUGAUCCCAGCAUGCCAACUCUGCAAGGAGUCCUCUCUGGGAAAACAUGUCUACCUAUAUGACAGCAGAAAACUAUGUGAACAGAAGAACAGACGCCCUCUUUCUGAAUUGACUGAAGAGUUUCACCUGUAGUGAGGGAGGACAUAACAUCAGCUGAAAUUAAAGGUCAAAUAAAUAAUGGGAGAGCAUGGAGGUGAAAUAUAUAUUGGUUAUAUGGCAAAAUAUGAGAAAGGCAAGCUACAGCUAGUAGAAUG